CAGGAAAAAUGGAGCCCACCUGCUGGCUGCACAGGAGGAUCUCACAGGAAAAUGGUGAUUGUCCUCCAGUCCUGCCCUGAAGCCACAGACCUCAGCCCCCCUCAUAUGCCUCCAAUGCCUCUCGAGUCAUCAUCCCUUCGCUGGAGCCCACGAAGGAAGCAGUCGCAGUGUUUAUGUAUUUCGCCAUCUUGGAUCUCCGAGAGAGUGUUUUAUUCGGAGGAAAUGGCAAGCAAAGGCUUUGAGUGGGGAAUGUGCUUGGAAUGUUGAAGGAAGACACUGAGGAAGAGAGG